UACGUAGGGUGCGAGCGUUGUCCGGAAUUAUUGGGCGUAAAGAGCUCGUAGGCGGCUUGUCGCGUCGGAUGUGAAAGCCCGGGGCUUAACUCCGGGUCUGCAUUCGAUACGGGCAGGCUAGAGUUCGGUAGGGGAGACUGGAAUUCCUGGUGUAGCGGUGAAAUGCGCAGAUAUCAGGAGGAACACCGGUGGCGAAGGCGGGUCUCUGGGCCGUAACUGACGCUGAGGAGCGAAAGCGUGGGGAGCGAACAGG
rnacentral:rRNA from 1 species